GGAUCUCGGGACGAAAAUCAAGUUUUGACAAAAAUCGGGAGAAAGUUCCAGAUUUCAGUUAAGGACAUUAAGAGUGUUUGCCCUCUGGAUCUACUGGAGGACACCUCAUUGAUGAUGCCAUGGCUGACAGAUCAUGCUGUCAAUUUCAGAGUGGCACAAAUUACACAGGGCUGCAGUAAGUCUGUGAGUUUGGCUCACUUUGAUUAUAUUCUGUGGAGUCAGGACUGGAUAAGACAUGGCCAUGUCCGGGACAAGACUCUCAAACAUUUAAAGAUCGCAGACCGAAUAUUACUGCCAAGGCUUGUUGGUCACAGCACUCCUGAGACUGGAAAUCAUUUUAUCCUUUGGGUACUAGACUUUUCAGACAAAGAAUUCAGAUUGUACGAUUCUUUGAGGAUUCACACAACAAUGACAGAUGACGACAUGGCUUUUUUGAGAAACCACGGAGGACUUAAGGGAUGGAUGGUCACGUUCCCAAAGCAGUGGAGGCAGAGAGACCAUGAUAACUGCGGGAUCUUUGUGUGCUCAGCAGCUGAGAAUGAGGUCCAAAACAGAGAUGUCAGCAAUGACGAUCUCUCCCUCAACCAGUGUCGAACUCUAAGGAGACACAAUGCGGCUGAGAUGAUAAGAGGCCUGAGUGUUCAGACUUUCCCACUCCCCAAAGAAGACCUCCAAAAUAAUACAAUAUGAGGAGGCCAGGAUUCAUCAACAGGAAAAAAAAGAAAGUGACUCCAACUGUCAUUGCUUGGCCUGGGAAAAACAAGCCUGUGUGUUUCAGAGGGUAACUGGCACAAAGAGAACACUACACAGUCAAGUUAAAACCUAUUCUUGGCUCGAGUGUAAAGGCUGUGGAGGUUGGAUCCACUUUGAAUGUGCAGGUGUGCAAGGAGACGUGACCACCACAGAGUUCCAUUGUGGUUGUGAUCGAGACAUGGGUACAUAUCUUGUUUGGAGAUAGAUCUUCUGUCAGCUGUCAUUCUGUCAAACAGAGUGUACCUGUUCAGAAACACAGGAUUUGACCCGACACUAAAAGCAUACUAUGCUGAGCACCUGUCUGUUUUUGACGACAUAAAGACAGGAGAACUCACUGACAGAUUAGAAGGGCUUGUUGCCAAACAAGUGGCUGUUGCUGAUAGAGAUGCCUACUUAAAUGAAGUCAUUUUGCCAGAGGUAAACAUCAGGUGGCUGACACAGCGGUUCAGCAUCUGCCGGUAUGAAGCAGAAUGUAUUCUGCUAAGCACCACCUUCUGGUCAAACAAGAUGGAAUGGUCAGAAAGUGGAACUGCCCCAGACCAAAGAUAUGUGCAGACAACCAAAGCAUCUCCAACAACACAGAUUGAGGAGCUCGGUGAUGACCUUCUUGAGGAAAUAUUUGUUGAAACCGUCCUCGUGGAAGGAGACAAGGCAAUUACAAAGAUUGCACUUGUAUGCAAAAGGUUCAAAGACAUUGUGUCAACGGAAAGGUUCCGAAAGAGAGCACAUUAUCGAUGGCUAAACAGAUAUACUGGACAAGGGAAGAGAGGAGAGAAACGAGGAUGCUACAGUGAGCCACCUCACCCAGGUUACUGCAGCCAAAUCUGCGCUCCAACAGAGUAACCAGAUGAUUCAAACAGGUCUCUCUGCUGGACCACUGCCCGUCCAGGAACACCUCUUUCCUGCCUGAUGGUGCCUCGUUCUUUUCUUUUUUUUUUUUUAAACUAUGGUUAUCUGUUUUGAGUCAUGUAGAGAAUAUUUAGAAAAUAAAAAAUGACUUCACCCUAUAAUGUUUGUUAUGUAUUUCACCCCUGUCAAAUACCACUUAGCCUAAAAUACUCAUAGAAACACAUUUCAUAUACGAGUAAUGGAAAUACUGCCUAUGUCUAUGUAACUAUAUCUUCACUCUCUGGAAUUUAUAGUAAAACUAUAUGUGGUGUAAUCAAUAAAUAAUACAUUUAUUUUUAUAUAGCACUUUUCAGGUACACAAAGACAAUUUACAAGUUAAAAACAGAAAUGU